UACAGAGGUCUCAAGCGUUGUUCGGAUUCAUUGGGCGUAAAGGGUGCGUAGGUGGCGCCGUAAGUCAGGUGUGAAAUUUCGGAGCUUAACUCCGAAACUGCAUUUGAUACUGCGGUGCUUGAGGACUGGAAAGGAGACUGGAAUUUACGGUGUAGCAGUGAAAUGCGUAGAGAUCCGGAGGAACCCCAGAGGCGAAGGCGGCCCCCUGGCUCGUACCUGACGCUCAGCCACGAAAGCAUGGGGAGCGAACGGG
rnacentral:rRNA from 1 species